AUGCAAAUCUUCAUAAAGACCCUGGCCAGAAAAGACCAUCAUCCUGGAGGCGGAGCCCAGUGACACCAUCAAGAACGUGAAGGCCAAGAUCCAGGAUAAAGAGGACAUCCCCUCUGACGUGCAGAGUUUCAUCUCUGCUGGCAAGCAGCUGGAAGAUGGUCACAACAACAUCCACAAAGAGUUGGCCCUACACCUAGUCCUCCAUCUGAGGGGUGACUAUUCAUUCUUCAGUC
rnacentral:lncRNA from 1 species